rnacentral:tRNA from 1 species
GGAAGGUUGGCUGAGCGGUCUAUAGCACUUGUCUUGAAAACAAGCGUACCGAAAGGUACCAGGAGUUCGAAUCUCUUACCUUCCG